AGUUGAAUCUUAUUCUGCCUGUGCUUGGACUGAAGGGAGCUCCCUUUUCUACUAGCCCCAUGCAAACCAGAAGACCCUUGGCUUUCUUUCUUUGUUACUUCUGCAAAUAACCUUUUUUAUUUGCAUGUUUCUUCUGAAUAACGUUGCAGCUCGGUUUCCUAGCAAAUUUUCUGAGUAGAAGAAGGUAUUUUAUGUUCGGAUCUAAUUUGACAUUGAUGAUUCACAUCAUUUAACAGUUAGUAAAGAUUUUUUAGAUUUUGUUGGUUGAAUGAUUAUAAAGUUAUUUCUACACAUUAGGUCAGAAAGUCUCGCGUGCUGCUGGAGCAAUUGUUCCAUGUUAAUUAGAGGUUUGUUCUGUAUUUUAUGAUCCAGCUGUGUUUGGAAGUCUUUUCAAGCCUCUGUGAUCUCUUUACUUGUGGAUCUACUAAGGCUUUUACGAACGACCUAUAGUCGAAGUCACUAGGGUGGUAAGGGGGAAUAUAAACUGAAGCCGGAACCUUUUUCUCCCACUCCUCUACUCAAGAUCUAAAAAAGCAAAUCAGUUUGUCUCCUUAGAGAGAUCAAGGCACCUUCUAUAUCUCUCUAAUAUUAGCAUCAAAACUAUAGAUCUAUGUAGAAAAAAUUGUAAGAAACAGUUGCUGUUCAUGUGAUUUGAAGUCAUGACAUGUAAGGGUGUUCAAUACUCAAUAAGAUUCAGCACUAAUCAUUCGGACUCCUAUCCUUUUAGCACGAACAUACGGCAUAAUUGUUUUGGAGACUUUUCCUCCCUUCACCAGUGAGAUCUAUGCAUUAUUGGUUUUCAGAAAUUUUCUUUCUAGUGCUCGGAAACCCUAAUCCUUUAUGUUAGGAUUCAGUGGGAGCUUCGAUAGCGCAGUCUUCAACAACAAAAUCUCGAGCCUCGCUCUCUUGUUUCAACAAGUUCCUAGACAUUUAUGCUGUUAGGGUUUCUUAUUACACAACUGCCCUUUUGCUAAGGAGCUGAUCGAGGCAAUCAGUUCCCAUAUUAAGAGAUUUUUAUCUAUAUUUCGUUUGCUAAAUCAUUACACUAACGCUUGAAUUUUUAUUUGUUUUUUUAACUAUAACUCAGUGGAUUAACAAAACAUUUUAAAAGAGCUCCAUAGGGUCUUUUUUAGUAGUUGGAAGUGAUUGUUCAAGGGCUGAUGCGUGGGCAAAAAACAAUGCAUUCAUAUUUUCUUUUGUUUUUGAUGCAAUCAAGCUGUUAAGUCUUUAGUCUAUAGUUAUAGUUUUCGUUUGUAACUGUUGUUUAUUGCCUACCCCCUUCCCCUCUUCAGCUUUUAGUAUUCGUUUUUAUGGUAUUAUCUAAUUUUGUUCUGUUGAUUAGGUGGUACACAGAUGUCCAUCAUAAUUGAAUCAAGACUUUGAUGUAAGGAUAUUCUGGCACUCGUCAAAAUUUGUAGUAUAAUUGGCACAAAAAUAAUGCAAUAGGUCUUAUUCCAACUUGGUUGUUGGAAUGAUCCUAUAGCAUGGAAACUUAUAGGAAAUCUUGAGCGAUGAGGAACAUUUCGAUGAAAAUAAGAGCUGGGUACGUUGUUUCUUAGCUAGAAGGAAUAUGUGGGAACCUUAAAAACCUGAUUGAUACAUGGGAACCUUAAAAACCUGAUUGAUACAUGAACACUAAAAGUCGACUAUUUUUUCGGCGUAUUAUAUGCUUCCAAGAAAUUUAGGUGCACCAUGCUUUUCCUUGGUGAGAGCAUUCCAUGUGAUGUUCCCUUCGUUUCGCAGGAUUUUUGUUUUACCUUGCUUGUAACGUCCUAUAAUGAAUUAUAAGCAAUGCAUACAUCCAGAAUUCUGUCCUUUACAUGUUGUUUAAAUAGGCCUACCAUCUUUAUUUGGGUCUUGAGUACUGAUCCUAAGGGCUUAUUUGAGUUGACGGCUAAACAAAAGACACUUGAAUAGGCCUCUGAAUUGUUGUAUAAACAUGCAUAUUUCGUAUUCUAACAACAGCACCAUGAGCUUGGACCUUCUUGUUGGUUUCUUCCUUGCACACGUAACUCUUCUGUAUGCUACCAAAAUGAACAAAUUUUUCGUUUGUUCGAGUUCGGUGCGUGCUUCUGAUUAUUCUAUCCUCAUUGUUGCUCUAGGAAGAGCUACGGUAGUGUGGAUACAUUUGUUGACCUGUUGCAUGUCAUUCAAGUUUUCUUUGAAUCAAUUGGUGAUUUAGAUUCUGCAAUCCGAAAGUUUGUUUUUAUGAAUAAAGUUACUUCACUUUUAAGCUAUAGAUUCUUUCAUCUAAUUCCUGUUCUUUGUUCGCUGGCCAUUUCUUCACUUUUGAUUUUUCAUCAGUUGGUCACCACUGUAACUUACGGUCCAUUAUCUCUGCUAUUUCUUGUUACUAGUCUUUCGUUCUCCUAUUUGCUGAUUACUUUCGUUGGUGUUAACUCUUUGAAUCAUCCAUCUAUUUAGCCUCUUUUGGUCUUUAACUGUUGACAGGUCGUAUUACUAUCAUGAACCCCCUAUGUACCUUAUGAUGGAACCAUUUGCAACUAGGGUCAAACUCACCCUUUUUUUUGAGUUCUGGCUUCAACUCUUCCCCCUGGAUCUUCUGUUGAGCUUCUACUAUAUAUAUAUGUCCGUCGUCGGCACCAUUUACAGUCUGCGUCGUCGGCAUUGCAGCUAUUAUUGUUAUCUGCGAGACACCUCGUUUUUUCUCUCCGCCAUUCUCGCCGCAAUUGCAGCUAUAAUUUCUUUUUGCCCGACAUAAGUGUCAGACGGGGGGAACCAUGGCUCAUGGGGCAAGUCUCCUUUGACUGGAUUUUUUUUCUAUUAAUUCUUCUACUUAUAUUGAAUGUCUUUCUGUUUCUGACUAUGCUAAUGCAGCUUGUCCAACAAAAAGAAAGGUAAACGUAGAUUUAUUUUCGCCUCUUUUGUGAGAUUUAUUGUCAAUACCGUGCAUGAAAUGAUGGUUGCAGGGAUUAUGGAAAUGAUAUUAAAAACGAUUGUUCUCUUUGCCUCUUGGACGCUCUAGGGAUUCUGUUGUUCUUUCAGAACAGUUUUUGGUGUCUUGAACAAGGCUCAUCGGGCAAUUCCGACGGGGGGUGAAUAUUCUCGGCUCGAAUCAUGCUUGUGGGGCUUCGGAGUCUGAUUAGGAGGAUACCGUUUCUCGUGUUUCUCCGCUGUUAUCUCUAAUAUUCCGCUCUGCUCAUGACUAAAAUGUUCUGGGAUCUGUGUUUUAGUUUAAUGUAGAUCCUGUGUCCUUUGUUUUGGACAUGCAUGGAUUUAUGGUGCUUGGAUUAUGUCGCCCUCCAAUUAAGCUUUACCAUUUACCCUUCUGAAAUGUUUUCUUGCGUUUGACCCAGAGAAGCCUAUAGUUCUAAUCGUGUCUUUCCUAAGUGUCAUGUAUCCUAUUUUUCCUAAAGAAAAAGGCAAAGAAGAAUUUUUAUUUGGUUAAGUUAAGAGAGGAUUUUCCCAUUAAAAUGACGGUGAGAGGUUCUUUCAUGUUCCUAGUUGCUAAUUUUUUUUAAUUCGGAUAAUGGUAAUUUUCUUAAUUGUGGACUUGGGCUUCUGGCAAUUUUCCCGGGGAAGCUAUGGUACAGUGGAAGUCUCACUCGAGGUUUCAUUUUAGCUAUACGAGCCGUCAGAAUACGACGUGGAGUGGAAAAACAUGAAGAAACUAGAUUUGUUGUCAUCUGGAUAAUUCGCAGACAUGUUUGAACCCGGUAAACUCAGCAUGGAACCCUAACCCUAAACCUAAUGGCGGAAGUCUCUGCUUCUAGUCCAAAAGCUGCCUUUGUUGCUCUCUCCUUUAUCCAUGUGGAAAACCUAGAGAGGCUCUUUCUACAGUAGAACCGGCUUUUGUAAUUAUCUUUUUAUCUCUCCCAUUGUGAUGCUCUUUUUUUCCUUUAUUUCUCUUGACAAUAGAACUUGCUUUAGAGCUUUGGUUG